GGGCUAACUUUGGCAGCACGUAUACUAAAAUUAGAACAAUACAAAAGAUUAGCGUAGAACAAUACAAAAGAUUAGCAUGGUCCCUGUGCAAGGAUGACACACAAAUUCGUGAUGCAAAAAAUUCCUUU
ensembl:snRNA U6 U6 spliceosomal RNA